rnacentral:rRNA from 1 species
ACCCCUAGUAGCGGCGAGCGAAGCGGGUACAGCUCAAAUUUGAAAUCUGGCUCUUUUAGAGUCCGAGUUGUAAUUUGCAGAGGGCGCUUUGGCUUUGGCAGCGGUCCAAGUUCCUUGGAACAGGACGUCACAGAGGGUGAGAAUCCCGUACGUGGUCGCUAGCUAUUGCCGUGUAAAGCCCCUUCGACGAGUCGAGUUGUUUGGGAAUGCAGCUCUAAAUGGGAGGUAAAUUUCUUCUAAAGCUAAAUACUGGCCAGAGACCGAUAGCGCACAAGUAGAGUGAUCGAAAGAUGAAAAGCACUUUGGAAAGAGAGUCAAACAGCACGUGAAAUUGUUGAAAGGGAAGCGCUUGCAGCCAGACUUGCUUGCAGUUGCUCAUCCGGGCUUUUGCCCGGUGCACUCUUCUGCAGGCAGGCCAGCAUCAGUUUGGGCGGUGGGAUAAAGGUCUCUGACACGUUCCUUCCUUCGGGUUGGCCAUAUAGGGGAGACGUCAUACCACCAGCCUGGACUGAGGUCCGCGCAUCUGCUAGGAUGCUGGCGUAAUGGCUGUAAGCGGCCCGUCUUGAAACACGGACCAAGGAGUCUAACAUCUAUGCGAGUGUUUGGGUGUCAAGCCCGAGCGCGUAAUGAAAGUGAACGGAGGUGGGAACCCGCAAGGGCGCACCAUCGACCGAUCCUGAAGUUUACGGAAGGAUUUGAGUAAGAGCAUGGCUGUUGGGACCCGAAAGAUGGUGAACUAUGCUUGAAUAGGGUGAAGCCAGAGGAAACUCUGGUGGAGGCUCGCAGCGGUUCUGACGUGCAAAUCGAUCGUCAAAUUUGGGCAUAGGGGCGAAAGACUAAUCGAACUAUCUAGUAGCUGG